rnacentral:rRNA from 1 species
UGGCUCAGAACGAACGCUGGCGGCGCGUUUAAGCAUGCAAGUCGAGCGGCAAGGGCCUUCGGGCCCCUAGAGCGGCGGACGGGUGAGUAACACGUGGACAAUCUGCCCCCCGGCCCGGGAUAGCCCAGGGAAACCUGGAUUAAUACCGGAUGAGACGGGACCCGCGAUGGCGGGACCCGGGAAAGGCGCUGCGGCGCCGCCGGGGGAUGAGUCUGCGUCCCAUUAGCUAGACGGCGGGGUAACGGCCCACCGUGGCGACGAUGGGUAGCCGGCCUGAGAGGGUGGACGGCCACAUUGGAACUGAGACACGGUCCAGACUCCUACGGGAGGCAGCAGCUAAGAAUCUUCCGCAAUGGGCGAAAGCCUGACGGAGCCGACGCCGCGUGAACGAAGAAGGCCGUGAGGUUGUAAAGUUCUUUUCGGGAGGGGGAACAACCGUGGCAGGGAAUGGCCGCGGGAUGACGUGAGUCCCGGAAUAAGCCCCGGCUAACUACGUGCCAGCCGCAGC